CUUUGUGCCUAGCCUCCCUCACCAUUUUUUCCUCCCCUCCGCUGGCGAUGGCGGCGCCACCGGCGAGCCUCGGCGUCGGGGCGCGCUCGUGCGAGACGGCGGAGCAGACGCGCGAGUGGAUGGAGGCCAUCGCCGCCUUCCUCGGCCGCCACCGCCCGCUCCUCGAGGCCCACGUCGUCAACUUCUUCAAGGAUAGGCUGUGGGAGACGGUGGACGCCGAGUGGAUGGAGUGCCUGCGCGGGGAGCCCGUGGAGCGCCUGCUCAUGCUGCCCUCCGGUUGUGUCCAGGACCAUUGGCCAAGUUCACUUCAAGAAUUUAUUCUAAACGCGAGGUCACUUGUUCUCCCGCGCGACCAGAAAUCGCCACAGUCGUUUCUACCUGAUUCACGUGUAGCAUCAAUUGGUACUGUUCUCGCUCAAGGCAUGAACACAAAGAAGAAGCACGAAAUUGAACAUCUAUCUGCGAUGGUUGAUGCAGUUGCGAGGAGUUGUGGAGCCAAGACAGUGGUUGAUGUGGGUUCUGGCCAGGGUUAUCUCGCACAAGCUUUAUCUUUUGAGUACCAACUCCCUGUUGUCGCAAUAGAUGCUUCAUCACAUCAUGCAUCUGUUACGAAUACUCGUGCAGAGAGGAUAAAGAAGCACUAUGCUGCUAAAUGUGUAGAGAAGCAGCAGUUCACUGUGCCUAGAACUGUCACUUGUCAUGUUCUUUCUAGUGACAUGUUGGCAGCUGUGACAUUGGAUGCAUUUCAAGAUGAUCAUGGUCAACAUGUAACAAAAACUAACAACUGUACUGAGACUAGUCCUCAAAAUGGGAAACCAAACCAUAACGUUCCUCAAUUAGUCCUCGCUGGUCUUCAUGCCUGUGGUGACCUUUCAGUUAACAUGCUAAGGGUUUUUGCGUCAUGUGAACAAGUACAAGCAUUGGUAAGCGUUGGAUGCUGUUAUAACUUUUUGUCCGAGGAUUGUUAUGCGGGUACAGACACUUGCCCUGGUUUUCCUAUUAGCAAGGCUGCUAAAUCAUCUAGAUUAGUGCUUGGCAAAAGCAUCCGCGACCUUGCUUGCCAGAGUGCAGAGAGAUGGAGAAACCUCACCAAGGAAAUGGCCCUACAAAAUUUUGACAUACAUGCCUUCCGAGCAGCUUUUCAGAUGGUACUUGAGAAAUAUUUUCCAGAAGUGUCAAAAUUGAGUCCAUCAAUUGGAAGGCAAGGAAAAGCUCUCCGCCGUCAAAGGCUUCGGAAAGUUGUGGAAUCCUGUUCAGCUGUGGGGAAAACUGAUGAUUUAUCCUAUUCAAAUCCCAAGGAACAAACCAUGAACACAGAUGGUUCAUUGCCAACAGAGCCAACUGAUCCUGAAGGGGCUGUCAGAUGUUGUAGCAGCGUACAAUUUACAGGUGAUACAUACUCAACUUCACGAGUCGAUGAUUCAUUCAUAUCAAAAGUUAACGUGAGACCAAGUGAGAUACAUCUUGAUGAAUGUCACAAGUUCACUCUUUUCAAAGAUUUCACCGCCUCUGCAUUCGGUCGUCUUGGCUGUGGUUUCGUCGAAGAUCUUCAUCUAUUUGAAAUAUGGAAGAGCGUGCAGCACUUCACUGAGUUCAUAGGUCCCUUUUGGUGUCUUCGGGCUGCUUUAGGUCCAUUGGUGGAAACAUAUAUCUUGCUUGAUCGCUUACUGUUUCUUCAAGAACAAGGAAGUGCAGUUCAAGCAUCAUUGUUUCCUCUGUUUGAUCCUGCUAUGUCUCCAAGGAAUAUGGCAGUAGUUGCUCGGAAGUUAACAGGAGAUGCUUUGUAAGCAUGACAUGGUAACACUUCUCAUGCCUGAAUACUUAGGUUGAUGGAAUGGUGUAUUGGUGCUGAAGAGUAAGAGAGACAACUACUGUGGCAGAACUGGUUCUAUCUUUAGAUAUAGAGAGAAUUUUUGUCCUUAUGGGCUACUCAAUUAUCAUGUGAAGAAUUUAUAGCUUCUGUGCAGUGAGAGUUCUAGAAGGACAUGUAGCUGUCUUUUUGCUUGCCAACUGACAUGUGGCCUGCAGAACAUGCAGAUAUGGUAUGCAGAUAUUGUAUGUACAAGAGUUUGCCAUCGAGCAGUGUGCCUUUAUCCAAUAUAAAUGCUAGGUCAACUUCUAGAUCGAUUCCAUCCCCUUUCACUUUCAUUACAUGCUUGCUUGUUUCUUUGAAGUAAAAUGAUCAUGAAACAAGUUGAUGCUGUACUUCAAUGUUGCAUGCAAUUUGGGCAA